GAUGAACGCUGGCGGCGUGCCUAAUACAUGCAAGUCGAGCGAACGGACGAGAAGCUUGCUUCUCUGAUGUUAGCGGCGGACGGGUGAGUAACACGUGGAUAACCUACCUAUAAGACUGGGAUAACUUCGGGAAACCGGAGCUAAUACCGGAUGAUAUUUUGAACCGCAUGGUUCAAAAGUGAAAGACGGUCUUGCUGUCACUUAUAGAUGGAUCCGCGCUGCAUUAGCUAGUUGGUAAGGUAACAGCUUACCAAGGCAACGAUGCAUAGCCGACCUGAGAGGGUGAUCGGCCACACUGGAACUGAGACACGGUCCAGACUCCUACGGGAGGCAGCAGUAGGGAAUCUUCCACAAAGGGCGAAAGCCUGACGGAGCAACGCCGCGUGAGUGAUGAAGGUCUUCGGAUCGUAAAACUCUGUUAUUAGGGAAGAACAUAUGUGUAAGUAACUGUGCACAUCUUGACGGUACCUAAUCAGAAAGCCACGGAUAACUACGUG
rnacentral:rRNA from 1 species